rnacentral:rRNA from 1 species
GACGAACGCUGGCGGCGUGCCUAAUACAUGCAAGUCGAACGAGAGCGGCCGGUGCUUGCACUGGUCAAUCUAGUGGCGAGCGGGUGAGUAACACGUGGGUAACCUGCCCAUCAGAGGGGGAUAACAUCCGGAAACGGAUGCUAAAACCGCAUAGGUCUUCGAGCCGCAUGGCUUGAAGAGGAAAAGAGGCGCAAGCUUCUGCUGAUGGAUGGACCCGCGGUGCAUUAGCUAGUUGGUGAGGUAACGGCUCACCAAGGCCGUGAUGCAUAGCCGACCUGAGAGGGUGAUCGGCCACAUUGGGACUGAGACACGGCCCAAACUCCUACGGGAGGCAGCAGUAGGGAAUCUUCCGCAAUGGACGCAAGUCUGACGGAGCAACGCCGCGUGAGUGAAGAAGGUUUUCGGAUCGUAAAACUCUGUUGUUAGAGAAGAACAAGUGCUAGAGUAACUGUUAGCGCCUUGACGGUAUCUAACCAGAAAGCCACGGCUAACUACGUG